rnacentral:pre_miRNA from 15 species
AAGUAUAGAAGAAUCUGUAAAGCUCAGGAGGGAUAGCGCCAUGGAUGAUGUGGAACAUGAAUUCUGAAAGCUUUUGGUGAUUCUAUUUGUCUAAUGCGCUAUCUAUCCUGAGUUUAAUGGCUUUUUCUUACUC